rnacentral:lncRNA from 1 species
CUUUAACAAAAAUAUAAAAAUUUCAAAAAUUUUGAACCAACCAUUUUAUCAGAAAAAUUACACUGGUUAUAUAGCAGUUUGAAAAACACCAAUUUUGAUCAUUGAGAAGCUUAAUAUUCCCUUAACAACACAACGUAAUUAAAACGUUCUGCUGAUUUUACAGAGUUAUCUCCCUGUAGUGUUAGGUACCACCUUAAAUAUCUUAUCAGUUGAGUUAUUCAACAUUCAUUAAUCCUCCAAAGUUAAAACAUUUAGGCUUGAGUCUGAAGAUAUUGUGGUGUUAUCUUCUAUAACAUGAAAAUUAACCCUGUCAUGACUUUAUAAAAUUGGUACAUCCAAAGCCCAUUCCUGUAUCACCUUUGUAUAGGAUUGCAAUUUAAUUACAGCAGUACAUGUUUAUGGGUGUUUUGUUUGUAAAACAUGCUGUGCAACACACAUAUCUAAAUUGAAUUGGUUCUUGACAAAGUUUUAUUUAAAUUAACUUUUUAAAACCAUAUGAAAGUAAAAGUAUUAUAAAUUUGUCUUUUGAUGAGGGGUGUAUGAUAUUAAAAUAAUCGACAGCAUUACUAAACACAGACGAUGAAGAAUGUAGAUAUUCUAAUUAUUUCCUGUUUAUCCGCGGUGCCUUAUCUGCUGGGUUUUAAUCAACUAGGUGUAGGUUUGAUUCAGGUAAAAAUUCAAUCUAUGUUUGAUACAGUUUACAGGUAAAAAUUCAGGAGAAAGCUAUUUGAUUUACAAAGUCAAAGACCUCACUUGGUUUAUUUAGUGGAAAACUGUAAAUUAUGGAUGCAAUUCAGAUGUUUCACUAAAGAGAACUAUUGUCAAUAUAUGUCACCAACAGGA